rnacentral:rRNA from 1 species
GGGGAAUAUUGGACAAUGGGGGGAACCCUGAUCCAGCCAUGCCGCGUGUGUGAAGAAGGCCUUAUGGUUGUAAAGCACUUUAAGCGAGGAGGAGGCUCUUUUGGUUAAUACCCAAGAUGAGUGGACGUUACUCGCAGAAUAAGCACCGGCUAACUCUGUGCCAGCAGCCGCGGUAAUACAGAGGGUGCAAGCGUUAAUCGGAUUUACUGGGCGUAAAGCGCGCGUAGGCGGCCAAUUAAGUCAACUGUGAAAUCCCCGAGCUUAACUUGGGAAUUGCAUUCGAUACUGAUUGGCUAGAGUGUGGGAGAGGAUGGUAGAAUUCCAGGUGUAGCGGUGAAAUGCGUAGAGAUCUGGAGGAAUACCGAUGGCGAAGGCAGCCAUCUGGCCUAACACUGACGCUGAGGUGCGAAAGCAUGGGGAGCAAAC